rnacentral:SRP_RNA from 1 species
GGCGCGGCACCGCGCAAAAGACACCGUGAACCGUGUCAGGCGGGGAACCGAGCAGCACUAAGCGGCAGUCUUUGUGCAGCGGUAAACCGCGCCGUU